rnacentral:lncRNA from 1 species
AAUGUUUAUGUUUGUGUACCCAGCGCGUCGCGUCGCUGCAGCAGGCUCCGCUGUCCAGGGGGCCGUCACUGGGACUCAGGGCACGGAGAUCGCUGGGCGGGGCGGGGGUCUUCCCAAGUGUUGCGAUCCAGGUCCUGGCAAUCCGCCCACAAUGGCCCGGGAUUGGAUUUUGCUUUCGGCCUAUAACGGCCGCGACGACAGGGAGCGAGGGUUGUGGCCGGCUUCUGUUCCGGGUUGGAGGCCCCCAGCCCAGCGCUUAGUGGGCGCUCACUGUGUAUACUGCCUAUUUGUAUAAUAAAGAAAGGGAUGGAGAAGCUCAG